rnacentral:rRNA from 1 species
UGGGGAAUAUUGCACAAUGGGCGCAAGCCUGAUGCAGCCAUGCCGCGUGUGUGAAGAAGGCCUUCGGGUUGUAAAGUACUUUCAGCGGGGAGGAAGGGAGUAAAGUUAAUACCUUUGCUCAUUGACGUUACCCGCAGAAGAAGCACCGGCUAACUCCGUGCCAGCAGCCGCGGUAAUACGGAGGGUGCAAGCGUUAAUCGGAAUUACUGGGCGUAAAGCGCACGCAGGCGGUUUGUUAAGUCAGAUGUGAAAUCCCCGGGCUCAACCUGGGAACUGCAUCUGAUACUGGCAAGCUUGAGUCUCGUAGAGGGGGGUAGAAGUCCAGGUGUAGCGGUGAAAUGCGUAGAGAUCUGGGGGAAUACCGGUGGCGAAGGCGGCCCCCUGGACGAAGACUGACGCUCAGGUGCGAAAGCGUGGGGGGCAAACAGG